AGUUGCAAGUUUGCAUCUCACUUGUUGGUUGGUCAUGUUGGUAUGAUGUUGUGUUGAUGUCGCAUGGUUGCAUUUCUAGUUUGGUUCUUGGGCUUUUUGGAGGCUCAUGUUUUGUUCAAGGUUUGAUUUGCACAUUCUGUUGUGCUUUGUGGAUUGCCGAGUUUGGCAGUUAUUGUUGUUCUUCAUGUUGGUUUGGUUGGUUGCCCAUGUUGUCGGCCGGUGUUGGCAUUUUGUUUAUCGAACUUUUUUUGUUGUUUGUGUUGUUGGUCAUUUGUUCGUUUAUCCAUACUUUUGUUAAGGUUUAUGUUUUCCGAUUUAUUGUGGCUUUGUAUUUCAAGUCGGUCCAAUUCUUUGUUUGUCGUGUUUGCGGCUUUUAUUUCUUACGUUGUCCGAUUUAUUUCCAAUUAGGCAUUUUUUUAAUUUCAAUUGUUUUGUUUUUUGAUUUAUUUAAACUUUCUUGUAGGAAACAAAACGUUUUUUCCAGGUCAAGGGAAACAGUAUGUGUUGAUGAGUGACGUCUUUAGUGGUUUAUCAACAGCGUGGACGGUUACCAUAAAGCUAAGGGAGUCUUACUGUAAAGACUCAUCAUAUCAAUAUUAAGACGAAGAAAGAAGGAAAGAUGGAAUUAAUGUAUCCUGGUCCUGCAGACGGAGAGGAAGAAGAGGAGUGGAUGGAACACAAGCUUCAACACCAGUACGGUACAAAUUGUAGUACUGGGAACGGUACCGUGAAUUUAUUACUUACACGUUAAGGUUUAGGGGAGAGUUCUCGAGCGUGGGCCAACAUUUUGUUGGUAAGAUUAGCUGCACUUCGUGUGUUGUAUCAUUUUUGUUAAUCGCCGGUCCCUUUACGCUCCGUAUUUUUGUCGACUUACCACGAAGAGGCUCUCCAUAAAAUGUAAACUUUGCGCAACAAUGCUGGGUUUAGGGUUAUUCUUUUAAGUAGGGCAUAGCUUAAAAAAAUACACAUUUUCCCACAGGUGUAAAUGGUUUUAUUCCCCCACACAUUAGGGUGUAGAACUUCCCUUUCUUUUUACAGGUUCUCUCUUAUUUCCCUAUAUAGUUAUAUUAGAAUUGUUGCAGAAUGACAGUAGUGGUUAACCCGGCAGCGUAGCAUAAACACACAACGACACAAAAAAAAUCAAAAAAAUACAAAAAUACAUUUCCACUGCUUGCUCGUCGGUACCUUGUCGUGGUGCAGUGGCUUUUAAACUAAAGUCGACGAUUUAAAAUCCAUUAACCAAAUACUACGUGAAUACUAUAUCACGAACAUUUGUUUGUGGGGGAAGAUGGGAUAUUUUUUCAUUCACUCUACUCGCAUGGAAGUAAACGAAGACAGAAUUAUAUAACCAUUUCCGCACAAACCUACAUAAGAGCGCU